rnacentral:rRNA from 1 species
GCCCUUGUUUGAUCCUGGCUCAGAUUGAACGCUGGCGGCAUGCCUUACACAUGCAAGUCGAACGGCAGCGGGGGAGAAGCUUGCUUUUCCUGCCGGCGAGUGGCGAACGGGUGAGUAAUACAUCGGAACGUGCCCUGUAGUGGGGGAUAACUAGUCGAAAGAUUAGCUAAUACCGCAUACGACCUGAGGGUGAAAGUGGGGGACCGCAAGGCCUCAUGCUAUAGGAGCGGCCGAUGUCUGAUUAGCUAGUUGGUGGGGUAAAGGCCUACCAAGGCGACGAUCAGUAGCUGGUCUGAGAGGACGAUCAGCCACACUGGGACUGAGACACGGCCCAGACUCCUACGGGAGGCAGCAGUGGGGAAUUUUGGACAAUGGGCGAAAGCCUGAUCCAGCAAUGCCGCGUGUGUGAAGAAGGCCUUCGGGUUGUAAAGCACUUUUGUCCGGAAAGAAAUGGCUCUGGUUAAUACCUGGGGUCGAUGACGGUACCGGAAGAAUAAGGACCGGCUAACUACGUGCCAGCAGCCGCGGUAAUACGUAGGGUCCAAGCGUUAAUCGGAAUUACUGGGCGUAAAGCGUGCGCAGGCGGUUGUGCAAGACCGAUGUGAAAUCCCCGAGCUUAACUUGGGAAUUGCAUUGGUGACUGCACGGCUAGAGUGUGUCAGAGGGGGGUAGAAUUCCACGUGUAGCAGUGAAAUGCGUAGAGAUGUGGAGGAAUACCGAUGGCGAAGGCAGCCCCCUGGGAUAACACUGACGCUCAUGCACGAAAGCGUGGGGAGCAAACAGGAUUAGAUACCCUGGUAGUCCACGCCCUAAACGAUGUCAACUAGUUGUUGGGGAUUCAUUUCCUUAGUAACGUAGCUAACGCGUGAAGUUGACCGCCUGGGGAGUACGGUCGCAAGAUUAAAACUCAAAGGAAUUGACGGGGACCCGCACAAGCGGUGGAUGAUGUGGAUUAAUUCGAUGCAACGCGAAAAACCUUACCUACCCUUGACAUGCCACUAACGAAGCAGAGAUGCAUUAGGUGCUCGAAAGAGAAA